GGCUCGGUAGCUGAGUUGGUAAAGCACUUGUCUAGCGAAUAAGGGUAGUGAGUUCAAAUCUCAUCUGAGCUG
rfam:Aedes albopictus isolate Foshan contig22574, whole genome shotgun sequence.